rnacentral:rRNA from 1 species
UAUAAAGGGGAAACCCCCGCCCCCCCCGCCGCCCGGGGGGGCCCCCUUUUUUAGUUAGGGUUUUCCAUCGCCAGGACUAACGCUGGGGGGCCGGCUUAAUACAUGCAAGUCGAACGCUUUUUCUUUCACCGGAGCUUGCUCCACCGAAAGAAAAAGAGUGGCGAACGGGUGAGUAACACGUGGGUAACCUGCCCAUCAGAAGGGGAUAACACUUGGAAACAGGUGAUAAUACCGUAUAACACUAUUUUCUGCAUGGAAGAAAGUUGAAAGGUGCUUUUGCGUCACUGAUGGAUGGACCCGCGGUGCAUUAGCUAGUUGGUGAGGUAACGGCUCACCAAGGCCACGAUGCAUAGCCGACCUGAGAGGGUGAUCGGCCACACUGGGACUGAGACACGGCCCAGACUCUUACGGGAGGCAGCACUAGGGAAUCUUCGGCAAUGGACGAAAGUCUGACCGAGCAACGCCGCGUGAGUGAAGAAGGUUUUCGGAUCGUAAAACUCUGUUGUUAGAGAAGAACAAGGAUGAGAGUAGAACGUUCAUCCCUUGACGGUAUCUAACCAGAAAGCCACGGCUAACUACGUGCCAGCAGCCGCGGUAAUACGUAGGUGGCAAGCGUUGUCCGGAUUUAUUGGGCGUAAAGCGAGCGCAGGCGGUUUCUUAAGUCUGAUGUGAAAGCCCCCGGCUCAACCGGGGAGGGUCAUUGGAAACUGGGAGACUUGAGUGCAGAAGAGGAGAGUGGAAUUCCAUGUGUAGCGGUGAAAUGCGUAGAUAUAUGGAGGAACACCAGUGGCGAAGGCGGCUCUCUGGUCUGUAACUGACGCUGAGGCUCGAAAGCGUGGGGAGCGAACAGGAUUAGAUACCCUGGUAGUCCACGCCGUAAACGAUGAGUGCUAAGUGUUGGAGGGUUUCCGCCUUUCAGUGCUGCAGCAAACGCAUAAGCACUCCGCAGGGGAGGACG